rnacentral:rRNA from 1 species
GACGAACGCUGGCGGCGUGCUUAACACAUGCAAGUCGAACGGAAAGACCCUGCUUUUGUGGGGUGCUCGAGUGGCGAACGGGUGAGUAACACGUGAGUAACCUGCCCUUGACUUUGGGAUAACUUCAGGAAACUGGGGCUAAUACCGGAUAGGAGCUCCUGCUGCAUGGUGGUGGUUGGAAAGUUUCGGCGGUUGGGGAUGGACUCGCGGCUUAUCAGCUUGUUGGUGGGGUAGUGGCUUACCAAGGCUUUGACGGGUAGCCGGCCUGAGAGGGUGACCGGCCACAUUGGGACUGAGAUACGGCCCAGACUCCUACGGGAGGCAGCAGUGGGGAAUAUUGCACAAUGGGCGGAAGCCUGAUGCAGCAACGCCGCGUGCGGGAUGACGGCCUUCGGGUUGUAAACCGCUUUCGCCUGUGACGAAGCGUGAGUGACGGUAAUGGGUAAAGAAGCACCGGCUAACUACGU